rnacentral:rRNA from 1 species
CGUCUAACUGCGGGCCAGCAGCCGGGGUAAUACGUAGGGGGCGGGAGGUUUCCGGAAUUACUGUGCGUAAAGCGUAAGCGGGCGGUCUGUUAAGUUUGACGGAAAAUCGCCUGGCUUAACUGGGGGGGGGCGGUGGAGACUGGUAGACGUGAGGCGAUGAGGGGGGCAUGGAAUUCCCGGUGUAGGGGUGGAAUGCGUAGAGAUCGGGAGGAACACCAGAGGCGAAAGCGGUGCCCUGGCAUUGGCCUGACGCUGAGAUGCGAAAGCGUGGGGAGCGAACGGGAUUAGAUACCCUGUAGUC